rnacentral:rRNA from 1 species
AGCAGUCGCCGCGGUAAUACGGAGGGGGCUAGCGUUGUUCGGAAUUACUGGGCGUAAAGCGUGCGUAGGCGGCUUCUUAAGUCGGAUGUGAAAUCCCUGAGCUUAACUUAGGAAUUGCAUUCGAUACUGGGAAGCUAGAGUAUGGGAGAGGAUGGUAGAAUUUCAGGUGUAGCGGUGAAAUGCGUAGAGAUCUGGAGGAAUACCGAUGGCGAAGGCAGCCAUCUGGCCUAAUACUGACGCUGAGGUACGAAAGCAUGGGGAGCAAACAGGAUUAGAUACCCGCGUAGUCCCUGUCUCUUAUAA